rnacentral:rRNA from 1 species
UACGGAGGGUGCUAGCGUUGUUCGGAAUCACUGGGCGUAAAGCGCGUGUAGGCGGCCCAUUAAGUCUGAUGUGAAAGCCCGGGGCUCACCCCCGGAAGUGCAUUGGAAACUGAUGGGCUGGAGUCCCGGAGAGGAGGGUGGAAUUCCUGGUGUAGCGGUGAAAUGCGUAGAUAUCAGGAGGAACACCGGUGGCGAAGGCGGCCCUCUGGACGGUGACUGACGCUGAGACGCGAAAGCGUGGGGAGCAAACAGG